rnacentral:rRNA from 1 species
UAGGGAAUCUUCGGCAAUGGACGAAAGUCUGACCGAGCAACGCCGCGUGAGUGAAGAAGGUUUCCGGAUCGUAAAACUCUGUUGUUAGAGAAGAACAAGGACGUUAGUAACUGAACGUCCCCUGACGGUAUCUAACCAGAAAGCCACGGCUAACUACGUGCCAGCAGCCGCGGUAAUACGUAGGUGGCACGCGUUGUCCGGAUUUAUUGGACGUAAAGCGAGCGGAGGCGGUUUCUUAAGUCUGAUGUGAAAGCCCCCGGCUCAACCGGGGAGGGUCAUUGGAAACUGGGAGACUUGAGUGCAGAAGAGGGGAGUGGAAUUCCAUGUGUAGCGGUGAAAUGCGUAGAUAUAUGGAGGAACACCAGUGGCGAAGGCGGCUCUCUGGUCUGUAACUGACGCUGAGGCUCGAAAGCGUGGGGAGCAAACAGG